rnacentral:misc_RNA from 1 species
GUCAUAAUCUUGUUUGGGAUCAAUCUUAAAUAAUUGAUAUAUAAAGCAUUAUCUUCAAUAAGUAUAUAAUUAUACUUUGAAUAUAUAGUUGGAAUUGCUCCCAUAAAAGCAGAGGCAGUACUCAUCCUCCGAUAUGUGGCUGGUUGAGAAAUGUAUCUUCGCAAAAAAUAAAUGCACAUGUUUUACCCAGAAUAAAUAGAUAAAUAAAUUCACGUGAUCACGAGAAGUGUUGUCACUGUGAAGCCUCUGCUGGUUGAUCGUCAGGGUGGGGGCUUGACCAUUUAGCUAGCCGAGCACGUGCUUUCUCAGCCUCCUCAUCCCAAUCUGAAUAUAUUGUUAUGAUGGCCAAGAUCACCGUCUGAACAGCAGUUCCACCAAAAAUCAUCCCUCCCCAAAUUCCCUUAACACUCAAUUUGAAAACCCAUCCCAUUAGGAAUCCAAGUGGGAGACCAAUUACGUAGUAGCAUCCAAGGUUUACAUAAGCAACCAUUGCUUGCCAUCCUGAUCCCACUGCCACUCCUGAUAGAACUGGCUGGAUACUGUUAAGGAGGAUGGUAACUGCUAGGAAGAUGGAGAGCUUGUCCACCUCUUCAAGAAUAUCACUACUUGAUGUGAAUAUUAGUGCAAAUUUGUUGUGGAAUAUCACGAUAAUUAGACAGAUGAUGAAACCAAUUAUAGUUGAUUCCACCAAGGACACCUGCGUUGCAAACUUGGCUGCUUUGCCAUUCCCAGCUCCUAACUCAUUUGCCACCCUCACCCCUGUAGCUGCAAGGAAGGCCAAAGGGAUCAUGAACUCCCAUCCAUUAAUAGUCAUGCAGAUUGACAAGGCAUCCACAGCUAGUGUUGCAUUUUUCAAGUGCCCAGUCAUCAAUAUUAGUAUUCUAUAGUACCAAUUCUCCAAACAAAGCAUGACUCCAGAAGCAGCAGAGAGUUUGACAAAUUCCCAUAACCCAGAAAAGGCUUCUACUGAAAAACCAGACCAAGUAAGAGGACACCUAUACAAAACAUACCAAAGCAGCGCAAAUACCAUAAACCACCAACACACAUCCAAAGCAAUAGCAGCACCAAUAACUCCAAAAUCCAGCGCAUAAACAAAGAGCCAACUCGUGAACACAUUGAUCCCUAAGGCAGCCAAAGAAACCCAUGCGAUCACCUGAUUCUUUAACUGGCUCUGCAAGAACCUUUGCAAUGGGAAUAUAAACGCAAAGCUGAAGUGCAGUGGUAAUAGCCACAUAGCCACCACCCAUGUCUCCUCUGCUACAUCAUCAGGCUGGCCUAACCAUUUCAGGAUUGGACUGGCAAACACGUAAACUGGCAAAAGCAAAAAACAGCACAGGAAUAGCACAAUCCAUGACCUUUGCAUGUAAAUGCCCAACACCUGGUAUCUUUUUGCACCAAAAGCUUGUCCACAUAGCGUUUCUAAAGCGCUCGCCAUUCCUAGCAGGAGUCCAAAAUUGAAGCCGACAAUAACAGUGUUGGCUAUGGAUAUGGAAGCGAGCUGAACGUCUCCAAGAUGUCCUGCAAAGGCUUGGGUGAUGAUAUUCAUGGAAAAGGAAGCUAUCCUGCUGAAAAUAGCUGGUCCCACGAUUUGCCAUAGCUUCUUGGUUUCAAUCCAGACCUUUGUUGCAAGUUCGCUGGUGCUUUUCUGAUCAUCUUUAUUAACUCCACCUUGUGGUAACAAAGCUUUACUGAGAUCACCAUCUCCAUUGCUACUCUCCAUCGAGAAAAAAUGAAAAAGAAAGAAGAAAACGUUGCUUCUAGUUCUUGCCUUCUUUUGAGUGAGAUUGAUAGGCGAGGAUUAAAAAUCGG